rnacentral:rRNA from 1 species
UACGUAGGGGGCAAGCGUUGUCCGGAUUUAUUGGGCGUAAAGAGCGUGUAGGCGGUUAGGUAGGUCCGUUGUGAAAACUCGAGGCUCAACCUCGAGACGCCGAUGGAAACCAUCUAACUAGAGUCCGGAAGAGGAGAGUGGAAUUCCUGGUGUAGCGGUGAAAUGCGCAGAUAUCAGGAAGAACACCCGUGGCUAAGGCGGCUCUCUAGUACGGUACUGACGCUGAGACUCGAAAGCGUGGGGAGCGAACAGG